CACUCCAUAGGGAGAAGUGCCACCCAGGAGACCCACGACCUGGGCAGAAGCCUCAGCCUCUAACUUGGGGACUGCUCCCAACCCAGCUGAAGCAGCCUCUGCAUGUGAGCUUGAGGGCUGUCUCUCCACACCCCUGAGGAAUCAAAGAGGGGCAAGGUUCUAGAGGUCUUCCAGGCCACCACCGGCUGCCUUCUCACACUCCACCGAGGACUCCCGCAGAAGCACCUCUCCACUCUGGCCCCUUCCCACCGUGGGGCCGCAGGGGACCCUCUGACGGCUCCUUUAAGGAGCAGCCCCCGCCCCCACCAGGCCAGCCACCGCCCCACGCGCUGCGCCGUAAAGUUUAGAGGGCGGAUCGGGUGACCGGGCAGGCAGCCGGGCAGGCAGCCGGACGGGCUGGAGAAGGCGGCCAGGCGGGAGUGGAAUGGGCACGAGGGAGGGGCUGGUUGGAGGUGGAACAACCCCCACGAAACCCAGAGCCGAAACCUGAGGGAGUUUUACAGACAGGAUGGAGCUCCUGUAACUCGGAGCCUCAGUUGGGAAUGACUUGGGGUCUUGUCCUGAAGCUUAGUCUGGUGAACAUGCCCCAUUUGUAGCAUAAGGGGUACUUCUCUGGAGGGACUGUAUGUUGACAGUGGCAGAGUGGAGCCCUCAAGUCCACCUGAGUGAAUAUACCAGGGCUUGAGAAUG